GACGAACGCUGGCGGCGUGCUUAACACAUGCAAGUCGAGCGGUAAGGCCCUUUCGGGGGUACACGAGCGGCGAACGGGUGAGUAACACGUGGGUGACCUGCCCUCAGCUCUGGGAUAAGCCUGGGAAACCGGGUCUAAUACUGGAUAUGACUCCAUGACGCAUGUUGUGGGGUGGAAAGCCUUGUGCGGCUGAGGAUGGGCCCGCGGCCUAUCAGCUUGUUGGUGGGGUGANGGCCUACCAAGGCGACGACGGGUAGCCGGCCUGAGAGGGCGACCGGCCACACUGGGACUGAGACACGGCCCAGACUCCUACGGGAGGCAGCAGUGGGGAACCUUGCGCAAUGGGCGAAAGCCUGACGCAGCGACGCCGCGUGAGGGAUGACGGCCUG
rnacentral:rRNA from 1 species